rnacentral:misc_RNA from 1 species
GAUGAAGAACGCAGCGAAAUGCGAUACGUAAUGUGAAUUGCAGAAUUCAGUGAAUCAUCGAGUCUUUGAACGCACAUUGCUCCCCCUGGUAUUCCGGGGGGCAUGCCUGUCCGAGCGUCAUUGCUGCCCUCAAGCACGGCUUGUGUGUUGGGCCUCCGUCCUCCUCCCGGGGGACGGGCCCGAAAGGCAGCGGCGGCACCGCGUCCGGUCCUCGAGCGUAUGGGGCUUCGUCACCCGCUCUUGUAGGCCCGGCCGGCGCUUGCCGACACAUCAAUCUUUUUUCCAGGUUGACCUCGGAUCAGGUAGGGAUACCCGCUGAACUUAAGCAUAUCAAUAAGCGGAGGA